rnacentral:rRNA from 1 species
AGCGGCAACAGCUCAAAUUUGAAAUCUGGCCCCCUUGCGGGGUCCGAGUUGUAAUUUGCAGAGGAUGCUUUUGGCGAGGUGCCUUCCGAGUGCCCUGGAACGGGCCGCCGCAGAGGGUGAGAGCCCCGUACGGUAGGACGCCGAGCCAGUGUAAAGCUCCCUCGACGAGUCGAGUAGUUUGGGAAUGCUGCUCUAAACGGGAGGUAAACCCCUUCUAAAGCUAAAUACCGGCCAGAGACCGAUAGCGCACAAGUAGAGUGAUCGAAAGAUGAAAAGCACUUUGAAAAGAGAGUCAAACAGCACGUGAAAUUGUUGAAAGGGAAGCGCUUGUGGCCAGACUUGCGCCCCGGCGGCUCAGCCGUCCCUCGUGGGCGGUGCACUCCGCCGGGCGCAGGCCAGCAUCAGCUCGUGGCAGGGGAGAAAGGCGGCGGGAACGUGGCUCUUCGGAGUGUUAUAGCCCGCCGUCACGCCCUACC